CAUAAGUAUUUGAUACAUCAGAAAAGCAGAACUUAAUAUUUGGUUCAGAAACCUUUGUUUGCAAUUACAGAGAUCAUACGUUUCCUGUAGUUCUUGACCAGGUUUGCACACACUGCAGCAGAUAUUUUGGCCCACUCCUCCAUACAGACCUUCUCCAGAUCCUUCAGGUUUAGGGCCUGUCGCUGGGCAAUACGGACUUUCAGCUCCCUCCAAAGAUUUUCUAUUGGGUUCAGGUCUGGAGACUGGCUAGGUCACUCCAGGACCUUGAGAUGCUUUUUACGGAGCCACUCCUUAGUUGCACUGGCUGUGUAUUUCGGGUCGUGGUCAUGCUGGAAGACCCAGCCACAACCCAUCUUCAAUGCUCUUACUGAGGGAAGGAGGUUGUUGGCCAAGAUCUUGCGAUACAUUGCCCCAUCCAUCCUCCCCUCAACAAGGUGCAGUCGUCCUGUCCUGUCUACAAUUGUAUCCCUGAUGUCCUUACACAGCUCUCUGGUCUUGGCCAUUGUGGAGAGAUUGGAGUCUGUUUGAUUGAGUCUGUGGACAGGUAACGAGUUCAAACAGGUGCAGUUAAUACAGUGGAGAACAGGAGGGCUUCUUAAAGAAAAACAAACAGGUCUGUGAGAGCUGGAAUUCUUACUGGUUGGUAGGUGAUCAAAUACUUAUGUCAUGCUAUAAAAUGCUAAUUAAUUAUUUAAAAAUCAUACAAUGUGAUUUUAUGGAUUUUUGUUUUCGUCUCUCACAGCUGAAGUGUACCUAUGAUAAAAAUUACAGACCUCUACAGGCUUUGUAAGUAGGAAAACCUGCAAAAUCGGCAAUGUAUCAAAUACUUGUUCUCCCCACUGUAUUUGCUUUGAUUUAACGGUCAUUGUACCUGACAGGUAAAAAAAAAAACUUUUCCCUUGAGCCUUUCUUCAUCAUUUCCAGUUAGAAAUUAUGUGUUGUUCCAGAAUAUAUGGUCACAUGGCAAAAAGUGUGUACAGUUUCCUAGAUAAAGUGGGUUGGUCAAAUUAAUGGGGCUCUUAUUCCUGGUUCCAGAGUCAGCAACAUGCCCAGGGUGAGUGGCAGCCUGAACCAAAACACCUACCACAGCAUUUUGCAGUGCCAUGCAAUACAAUCUGGUGUACACAUCGUUGGUCAGGGGGUCAUCCUACAGCAAGUUAAUGACCCAAAACAUACCUCCAGGCUUUUUAGAACAGCCUUAGAAGUAAAAAACAAGACAAAAGUUAUCUUUAACCCCACUGGGCCUGUUUGGGAUGAACUGGGUGAAAGUAAAGCAACCUACACAGGCAACACAUUUGUUGGGACAAUAUUUAAUUUCUAUUAUAGAAAUAAUGCCACGAGGGUGUUCAGCUGUUAUGUCUGCCAAAGGAGGCUACUUAAGAGUAAAAAAUGGAGAUACAAUUUUGUUAAACAAAAUAAUUCCAUUAUUACUUUUUUGUGUCCAAUUGCUUCAUAUUCAAAGUGCAUUAAGACAUUAAACUGUGAAUUGAGGAAAAAAUUUGAGGAUUUGCUUCACGUUUUAUAGUGAAAUACCCACAAUAAUCUACUGGCUACUGACUGAAUCUGUAACUUAGAGUGGGUACAACCUUUAGUGUUCGAUGUAAUUGUGUGCGGGAAGUUACAGACAUAACACUUUCAGCUCAGCAGACCAGACAUGUCCUUAGUAACACCAAAAAAUGUGAGGGAACAUUGAUUACAAUAUACAUCCUUUUCUUGAUCUGCUUUGUUCAAAUCAAAACAUAUUUAUUUACAGUGUCCAUAAUUUUCACCUCAUUUUUAUCUGUUUGAACAGUGCACUGUAGUGAUGGGCAUUUAACAUGUUUUGCCAAGCUGACUCACUUUCAUCUGAAAGAGCUCACUUAUUUUGUUCCCAAAUGAUUCUGUACCAAAUGCUUCAAAAUAACCACAGAACCAUUACUCUUCUGUAGUGAAAUACAUGUUCAAAUAUGUGUACCUGUCCUAAAUAUUAGACUGACCAAUUAUUCUGUCCUUGACGGUUCCCUACUGAACAGAAAAAGGCACUGAACAUGCACCCUUUAUUUUUUCUGUAGUGCCGAAAUAAUAAAGGGUGCAUAAUUUUCUGUUAACAUUUUCAUUUUUAGUAACAAUGUUUACAAUUUUCUGUUACUCAUUAUGUAAUUAAAUCAUUAUUUUGGGCUUAAUAAAUUAACAAAUCCUGAAUCCAUGAUUUGGUUCCCUAUGUUUGCCAAAAAGGGCCUUUUAUCAGAAAGAACCGUUUGUUUGUAAAUUAUCCAUCUUUAUAGGGCACACUUUUUGUAGGACCUGUCUUUACUCCGAAAUUGCAUGUUUAUGGGAGAUUGCUUACCUUUUCUUUAAAAAAACAAAAUAUAUAUUGUUUCAGAAGAUAAAAAAAGUUUUAGGCUACUUUGUCAACUUGUUAAAUCAUGUUUGAGAUUGAAAAAUGUGUUACUAUUGGGAAAAAGACAAUGUGGUCCAGUUUGCUCAUCAAAUGACUACAUUUGUUGGCCAGUGGCUUUGCUAGAAUCUUUUGGUUUGUGUUGAGGAGUAACAUGGGCCUGUAAAUUCUUACAGGAAGCUGUGCAUGUUCACAGGGUUGGGUUCCGCUUUAUGGCUGCCCCAUAGUCAAUAGUCAAGAUUAGUACACUAUCCUGGGGUGGUGACACUACAGAGCAGUGGGCUCUGAACACCAUUUUUGACAACAGCAUUGUUGCGCUACAACCAGCAUGGGAGUCCACAUAGUAGUAUAUUUCCACUAGAUUGGGUACAGUGUGGGGUUUCCCCUCGCUUCCUUUGCCCUUUGAUUAGAGUGACACUAUGAAACUUCCAGAUAUUUUUCAUACAUCUAUGUUGAUGAGCUUGUACUAUGUCUGUGUUGUAAGUUUGUAUUUGGAAAAAAACAAAUUAGCACACAACUGAUUUCUGUUUUUUUUGUAUUAUGCUGUUUAUGCAUAAUACAAAAAAACUGUUAAAAUAAAAAGUAUUUAUUAUUGUAUUAGGGUCCCAAAGAGCCCCUGCUUAGCUUGGAGUUCCAAGAGAAACAGUACAUUAUUAGAUUCGAUUCAACUUUGUCACUGAACAAGUACAGUACAAUAAAAUGCAGUUAGCAUCUAACCCAAAGUUCAAAUAGAAGAGGGGAGAAAAUAUACAAUUACAGGUAUGGUUAAAAUAAAAUAAAAAUAAAGACAAUCUCAUCACUCUUUAAUAAUACAGUGAAUGCCAGUAAAGUAGACACUAGUAAAACAAUGACUACAAAGUGUGCCUAUCAUUUGAUCUCUAAUCCAUGCUCUUAAAUGUGUCAUAAAGACAAAUAUGAGUAGGGUAUACAUACAAGGACAGUGUAUUGUAAUUUUGACUACUUUUAAAAUAGGCCAAUAUCGACAACAUGGCAGUUGCAAUAGAUAAUGUAAUAGAAAUUAACUCAGUUAAAACAAGUGCUUGAAGAUGCUUUCUGUGAUUUUUGGUCACCAGUUUUGAAUGACAAUCCGAAAAGAGCUCUUGAACAUGGCAUACUUGGUAAUUUAUGCACUGAUUUGUACCCAUGUAAUCAAACCUACUCACUUUCAAAUUUGUCAUGUAAUGAGUAAUGGAGGUAUGAUUGGGAAUCUACUUUAGAUUAUGCACAUGUAAAUAAUAUUUAACAUCCCAUCCAAAGUGGGAGGCUUAACAAGAUAUUUUGUUAAUCUUAGUGCCAGACUACAUUUUUAAGCAGUCGCAAAUAGCAUGUCAUAGACAUAGAUAAAACGUGUGUAUUCAGUAAAAUAUACCUAAGCCAAGGUCAAUAUAUAGCAAUAUUUUCUUUUUCAAAAUGAAUUAUGUAACCUAACUUGGUUGUUUUAAUUUAAAACAUUCAAUGCUUUUGCAGAGUUUAAGCAUUUUCAUUAAUACUUAAUUCACAUUUCUGAUUGCUUCAGCUAGUGUUCAGGAACCAGUCCUUUAACAGGCUUUUUUUGUGCGCUCUAGACUAUUUCCAUCAAUGAGGGCACCAUUCCCUCUUAACACUUGGAAAAUGUUUGUUCCCUAAAAAAAAAAUCCCCGGAAUCCUAGUUGGAAGAUUUCUGGUGCAUAACACAGGCUAACUAAGGAUCGUAAACUCCAUAAUAUCGUCUCUCCUCUUUUGGUCAUACCAGAUACCAUAACGGUGGUUAAGCACAUGUUUGAAACAUACAAAAAUACAGUUGUGUCCCUCGGAAAGAUGAAAUACAAUUUAAGAACCUACACAUACAUGCUUGAGAAAUAUGUUGUAGCAUGACAUGAAUGUAUAAGAAAUGUAAAACACUUUCAAAUGUAGUUUUUCCAAAGUUGCUCUGAAUCUUGUUUCCAAUUUUUCCAUUCAUGUGACAUCACAACCUGUUGCUUCCUUAAGGGUGCUCCUGAGAGAAAUAUAAUUUAAUUUGGGGUGAUAUAAUUAGCCAAACAAAACAUAACCAUUGUACCAUUUGGGGCUAUUAUUCAACUUAAAUUAACACCAUGCAUGUCAAUAUACUACCGAUAAGAUUAGUCAGACAACAUACAGUACAUUUACAAUGAAAUUAAAUUGCGUCUCUACCUUGAUUGUACUUAGUUUUAUGGCACCACAUCAAGACAAUGGACAGGAUAAAGACAACGAAAACAAGGAGCGUGAUGACACUAAAUAAAGCAAACAGAAAGACAGUUAAUUUGACAGCUUAACGUUCAAUUCAGGAGAAACAAAUAUGUCUUCUGAUGUUUAUAUGAAACAAGCUAUACUUGAUGGACCUAACAUGUGUAAUGGUUUACUUAUUUGGAAAUGAUCAGUAAAGCAGACACAAAGGUCUAAUAAUGCAUUGUCACACAGUUUUUCAUAAUUUGCUACUUAAUCAAUUACAUAUUCCCAAUAGAGUAACUAGGUUUUUUAACACAUAUUUACACUAGAUUUACCCAAGCUGCCAAAUUCCCAAGGUAAUAUUUCAGAUGCAGUAACUGCAGAAUUACAGAAAAACUGGAAUGUACCACAGUUGAUCUGUAGUUACACAUCACUUGAAUAAUUAUAAAUCACACUGAUGAGUGCUGAAGUGUGUUUGAAUUGGUUUCUUUUCCCCACCUCUAAUUCAAUGGUGGAAUCAGUGAGCAUAAAGUCUAUUUCUGUGCAAGUAUUAGGAAUGUACCUCAUUGCUAGUCAUGUUUUAUGUUGGAUGUGCGCUGAGAAAAAUAUUAAUCGUCAUAGACAUUUACAUUUCCUAUUACUCAGUCACUUAAUGAAACAAUAAAACCCCAUGCAGUCUUACAUUGCUACUGUUCCCACUGGGUCCAAAUGUGUCAUAGUUGAAACUGAGGGAAAAAAUAAACAGUUGAUGUUAAUCAUGCAGUGGGACAGCAUUCAUAAAUUGUGUGAAAGCAGCAUCAUAGCACACUACAUCCAAAGGCUGGCUUGCUUCUAAAGCUAAGAUGUGCUGGUCCUGGUAUGUCUAAGUAUGGGAACCAGAAACUGAAGGAAGUGGUGUUGAACAGCCAGUAUGGGGCACUGAUAGAAAGAUCAAAUCUAAAGGGAGUUCAGGGGACAUUGUUCUUUGUAGGGUGCCAUCUUUCAAAUGAAAUAUUGAACAGGCACCUUAACUCACUUUGGUAAUUAAAGAUCCCAAUGCACUGUUUGUAAGAGUAGCAAUGUUAUCCCUUGUGUCCUGAGUUACAUUUCCAUGUCCUUGUAACAUAAAAGGCAUUCGUAAUGUGUUAUUUCCAAAUACAACACCAUCGUUACCUUCAGGCAUAGGUUUCUGGCAAUCACCCGUUGAGGUUUUGUUGUAUCCAUCUAUACAGCCACACACCGUGUCAGAGGAGUCUGAGCAGUUAGUGACAAUCAUCUUCCAUUGACCUGCCAUGGUUAAAACCAAUCGUUAACAACAGAUUGACCACUACAGAAACAAAUAAAUUGGGCUACUAGUAAGCUCCUAGUCUAGCAAAACACUUUUGGAUGGGCUUACCACACAUCAAUACUAUCAGGUAUGUCCAGUUUAUAUUAGUUUUUUCAGAGAUGUAAGGCACACAGUUAACAGUGACUCUUUUCAGUGAAGGUACAGAUUAACAAAGUAUAACAAUGUUCAAUAGAUUUCUACUGUACCUGAACAAUUACUGCAUUCCACACAGGUAGAUCCAAUCCAUCCUCCAUUUUGCAUUCUACAUUUUUUAAAAGCAAAGCGUCCUAAAUGAGAGGAAAUGGCAUUAAUAAUACAUACAGAGGGACUGUAAAACAAACCUAAGGUUAUGACUGAAACACAUAACCAUCAUUAGGAUAAUGUACUGUAGUCCUAAAUCUUAAGAGCAAGCCCUGAAAGUUUUUAUUUAGAUGAACAAGACUUGUUGCCAGAUUUGUUUUAGAAUGUAAAUGGGUCAAAAUAUCAGUUGUAGCACAUCACCUUCUGAGGUAACAUUGGACACCUUUUCAACAGAUACUUCCGGCAGGUCCUGAGGUAUAAAUAUAAUGUCUCGCUCAAUGUUUAUUGGAGUGGAAUGAGCAAUGACAUAAGUAAGGUAGACCUUCCAGCUCCAAAAACAGUCAGAAAAAGAAAUUGUAGGGAAGAAACUAAAAACACUAGCACAAUAACAAAUACGAUCAACAACAACAGACCUCGUUCUACACAAAGCUCUAUGUUAGUUUACUGGCUGAACAACAUUGUCAGUAAGCUUAGGUCUUCCAGGUCAACAGUCUGUCCAUAGCACUGCGCGCAUGCUUACAAACAUCAUCCGAGGAUGUACCUCAGUUCAAAAUUUCCAUAACAGCAUCUAAGAUGCACCUUACUGUGUAGGGUUUCUUGUGGCUAGUGUGAAUAUAGCAUUGUAUUUACACAUUUAUUUAUUGUUGUUUAAAUGACUCUUCUUACAACAAUUAUUGUCAGCUUAACCAGCUUUCUGUCAUAAAACCUCCCCAUUCCUGUGCUCAAAAAGCAUGCAAGUAAAUAAUCCAAUCAGCUCAAUACCUAGAUUAUUUUACCUAUCAAAAUAAAUGUUUUAUUUUACCUGGAGGACAGGGUUGACAGUGCUGUCCAUUGCAGAAAUCAGAAUCGAUGAACAGCAGAAAAACCACGAAAGUCUAACAGGGAGAAAGAUUCUUAACUCAGUGGCUAAAUGAAACUGGCAGUGUAUGAGGACUGGUGUGUUUAGGUAGACAUGUUGCUGUUGAUAAUGACACAUGCGUCAUGCGUUGCCUAGUGAUUACACUCCAAACUUGGAGUGACAUCACUAGGCAAUCAUUAACAUUUUUGUGAUACAUAAAGAAUCGCUAACAUUUUAAUACAACUAGAUGGGGCUACAAUUAAACUUGAUUUUACAGACAGCAUAUAAAACAGGUUUUGCCUAAAAAUAAAUAACAGUCUGGACAACAAUACAAACAGUAUGAAAAACUGCAGACCGCUCUUGGGUUAGAAUAAUACACUUCACACUAUAAUCAAUGUAUAACCAUCAAACAAAAAUAAAU
ensembl:lncRNA